GAAGAAAGUAGGGGAAACCACUAAACCAUUCAGUCUGAUGGCAGCUAUGAACUCAGUUUAACAUCACUGACUGAGGAGACAUCUGACAGCUCACUGGAUAUCUCCAGACCCCAUCUGAAUGGGUCUCCACUCCGUGCUGCCUGCCCCAUAGCUGUCAGGUUACCCAGCAUAGGAAAGUGUUAGAACAUUACCAGCUGCCUUGGAGACCAAGCACAACAAGCUCCACUCUGGUUCCCUUGACAAUCUG